rnacentral:rRNA from 1 species
GACAGAGGAUGCAAGCGUUAUCCGGAAUGAUUGGGCGUAAAGCGUCUGUAGGUGGCUUUUUAAGUCCGCCGUCAAAUCCCAGGGCUCAACCCUGGACAGGCGGUGGAAACUACCAAGCUGGAGUACGGUAGGGGCAGAGGGAAUUCCCGGUGUAGCGGUGAAAUGCGUAGAGAUCGGGAAGAACACCAAUGGCGAAAGCACUCUGCUGGGCCGAAACUGACACUGAGAGACGAAAGCUAGGGGAGCGAAUGGG